rnacentral:rRNA from 1 species
CACGCUGUAAACGAUGAGUGCUAGGUGUCGGUAGUCAAAUAUCGGUGCCGUAGUUAACGCAAUAAGCACUCCGCCUGGGGAGUACGUGCGCAAGCAUGAAACUCAAAGGAAUUGACGGGGACCCGCACAAGCAGCGGAGCAUGUGGUUUAAUUCGAUGCAACGCGAAGAACCUUACCAGGGCUUGACAUAUAUGCGCUAGCACUAGAGAUAGUGGGUUCUCUUCGGAGACGUAUAUACAGGUGG